rnacentral:rRNA from 1 species
CCUACGGGUGGCAGCAGUGAGGAAUAUUGGUCAAUGGACGAGAGUCUGAACCAGCCAAGUCGCGUGAAGGAUGACUGCCCUAUGGGUUGUAAACUUCUUUUAUAAGGGAAUAAAACGAGGCACGUGUGCCUUUUUGCAUGUACUUUAUGAAUAAGGAUCGGCUAACUCCGUGCCAGCAGCCGCGGUAAUACGGAGGAUCCGAUCGUUAUCCGGAUUUAUUGGGUUUAAAGGGAGCGUAGAUUGGUUGUUAAGUCCGUUGUGAAAGUUUGCGGCUCAACCGUUAAAUUGCAAUUGAUACUGGCAGUCUUGAGUACAGUUGAGGUAGGCGGAAUUCGUGGUGUAGCGGUGAAAUGCUUAGAUAUCACGAAGAACCCCGAUUGCGAAGGCAGCUUACUAAACUGUGACUGACGUUGAUGCUCGAAAGUGUGGGUAGCAAACAGGAUUAGAUACCCCUGUAGUC